rnacentral:rRNA from 1 species
UACGUAGGGUGCAAGCGUUGUCCGGAAUUAUUGGGCGUAAAGAGCUCGUAGGCGGCUUGUCACGUCGACUGUGAAAACCCGGGGCUCAACUCCGGGCCUGCAGUCGAUACGGGCUGGCUUGAGUGCGGUAGGGGAGACUGGAAUUCCUGGUGUAGCGGUGAAAUGCGCAGAUAUCAGGAGGAACACCAGUGGCGAAGGCGGUUCUCUGGGCAUUACCUGACGCUGAGGAGCGAAAGUGUGGGGAGCGAACAGG